rnacentral:lncRNA from 1 species
AUACUGUGCAUACUUAUAUUGUAUGUAUAGUAUAUAUCUAUAUAUCUGUAGAUAUACUGUAUCCAUACGGCAUAUGCAUAGGACAUAUGUGCAUAUAGUAUACAUAUGUAUAUGCAUAGUAUCUAUCUCUCUAUCUAUAUGGAUAUAAUCUACUCUCCUACUGGUUCUGUUUCUCUGGAGAAACAUAUAUAGAAAUAGAGAUAGAAGGAAAGAAAGAGAGAGAGAAUAAGGAAGUGGCUUGUGUGACAAUGGAGACUUGUCAGCCUGACAAGUCCCAAGAUCUCGAGGAUGAGUCGGCAAGCUGGAGACCCAGGAGAGCUAAUGGUUUGGUUCCAGUCCAAGACUGAAGGCCUGAGAACCAGGACAGCCAAGAGUGUGCUUCCAGUCUGAAGGCCAGCAAACAUGACUCCCAGAAAGAGCUGAUGUUUUAGUUUGAGUCCAAAAGUAGGAAAGAGUUGACAUCCCAAUUCACAGGCCACCAGGCAGAAGGAUUUCUCUCUUACUCAGAAGAGGGGAAGCCCUUUUAUUCAGAUUCAGGCCUUCAACUAUUGGUCGAGGCCCAUCUCCAUGAGGAAAGGCAAUCUGCUUGACUCAGUCCACCAAUUUAAAUGUCGUUCGAAAACACCCUUGCAGAAACCCUCAGAAUAAUGUUUGGCCAAAUGUCUAGGUAAGCCAUGUCCCAAUCAAAUGGACAUACAAAUUUAUCCAGUACAUUAGUCAUCAAACACAACGCCCUGUCCAGACUGUACACUCCCAUAGGUACUGUGCCUGUCUACCUGACUGCAGCUCUUACUUUAGUUUUAUUUAAUUUUAUUUUUUGUUGUUAUUUAUUUGCUGGUUGGCAGUUAGUUUUCUCUCCUAUAUUAUGCACGUCACUGGGACAGGAAACAUGGCCAUCUUGCUCACCACUAUGACCUUACCAGUUAGUUCAGGACAUAUCCAUAGUACAAGGUUAACAGAAGCCUUGAACAAAUUGGAAUUCUACCCCUUGUCACAAUUAGAUGUUUGCCAUAAUAAGUUGUUGGAUGUGUCUCUGAGAGGGCAGAAGACUGUGUGUCAUCCAUAUUUGUAUUGACAGGGCUUCCUCUGAGACUGGUACACAGCUAGGCCUCAAAAGACACUUGUUAAAGUAAAUGUAUCAGAAGUCAAGCACCGAGUUGGAUAGAGAGUCAUUGUCUGCAUGGUGGCAUGUGAGGGACAAGAAUGAUGACGCUCUUUGCAUUGAGCAGAAUGUUUUUAGUUGCAAGGGAUAGAAACUCAUCCCAAAAAGAUUUAAUUUUUUUUUUUAAAAAGAGAGGGGGAUAUUAUGGAUUCAAGUAACUACCAAAAAAUAUAGAUAUGGAGUUCAGGCAAAUCUGAAUCCAGGUGUUCAAGGGAUAUCAUGAGAAUUUCUUCUCGCUCUAUCUUGGAGCAAGAUCACCACAUUUUCUCACCAGCAGCUCUAGGCUUCUGUUCUGAGGGCUAGCACACUUCAUAGAAACCAUGCGGUUUGCCCAAGAGUUAUCCUGCAGGUGCCUCAUAUGGGCCCACCCCUGAACCUUUGGCCAAGGGAGUGGAGCAUUGCAAUCGGCCAGGCCUGAGUCACGUGCCAUUCCUGGAAGCUGGGAACAAGGUUAUCUUUUCUGGAGCCUGGCCUAGAGUGUGCAAGGUGGGCAUUUUACUAAACAUACCCACAUGGCAUGGGAGAAGAAACCAAGAGAAGAGUUUUAAAUUUAUAUGUAACCCAUAAACUUCCAUGAAUCCCCAUAAAGAACCAGUGUCCCAUUUAAAGAAGCACAAUCCAAUACCAAUCUUCCCUCAUGGUUCUAACAAAUAUUUGGAAACAGGGGAUAAUAUUUAGCCAAUAAUAAAUCUUCUUACAAUCUUUGCGUUCUCCUGUUCUCUAGCAUCCUGAAACUCUACCUCUCAGUAGCUUUGUGCUGUACAUGCUAUCAGGGCAUGUACCCACCCCCUCCUCUGCCUUGAGAAAUCACCCAACAGCAUUGUCCUUUCUCCUCUUUGGAAAACAGAAAGACAAAGAGCAGGGUGCAUUUUGCCACCUCUUGGUGACAGCAUACUUGAGAAUAAAACUAACAGAGGAGAGCAGAGGUGUGUGGUCUUAUGGGACUGAGCCCUAAGCAGACACACUGCCAUCCUGGCUUUAAGUUUAAACAUGUGACUCAGGCAGAGCCAAUAGCAAAGCUUAUUCCCUUAGCCCCAGUGAUUGAUUCUGGGAUGGAUAUAUGACCUGUGCCAGUGGAAUGAGACUCAAUCUUUGGACUCUGUUUGGAAUUAUUGGAAGGGAAAAUUUUCUUUCCACUGGAGUGAUUAAGCUGGCAGGAAAUAAGCCUGGACCUACUGGAGGUUGUCUUAUUACCACAAUCCUGACUGAGAGUGAAGCCAAUAAAAAGGAAAGCAGGUCAAGAAGGGUAAGAAUAAAUCCUUAGGAUAGCCACUGAACACCCAGAUCCAGCCAGGCCUGGAGCCUUUCUCCUACUUAUCCAUUGUUUGAACUAAAAAAGUUUUGCUGACUCACUUUGCCGUGCAGAAAAAAUUGACACAACAUUGUAAAUAAACUAUAAUUUUUAAAAAGUCAGUUUUAGUUGAGUUUCUGCCACUCACAACUAAGAGACCUAAGUAAUUCUGAGGGGUUCCCUAUGAAUUAAAUAGCAGUCGAUUUUUUUUUUUGACCCAAAGGAUCCCCUCUGUCUGCUUCCACAGCCUCGAAUGCUUUCCCCCUUGUGUCCCUAACUCCAGGAUACGAUAAUUGCCUCUCCUCUUAUCUGUCUCUCCCAAAAUACUGCAGCUACUUGAGGCCAGAAACCUUUUUCAUUUCUGUGUUCUCGAAGCCCAGUUUAGAGUCCAGAGCCACCAGUAAGCCCAUUCCCAGCAGUAAUGCUCACCACCCUCUUAGGAAGUAGGAAUUGCCAUCCCCAAGUUCCAGGUGGGGAAACCGAGGUAGAGAGUGAACACUGUCUUAGGAAUUUAAUAAUUAACAGACUCCAGGGUUCAACUCAGGCCUUUCUGAUUUCAAAGCUUCGUUUGAUGAAUGUUUGAAUGAAUGAAUAACCCCCUAGAUUGACCUUGACAUCGAUCCUAAUGAAAUUUUAGCCUGCUAGUUCUCACCCACAGAUCCUCGCCUCGUGGAACCUUCAAAAUGUUGUCAGAAUGUGCCAUGGGGUCUGGAGUUUCUUGGACAGCUGGUCCACAGCUGACGUGGGGUCUCUUUCUCGUUGCUUCUUCUGGGGCCCCGAUCCGAAGCUCCCCAGGCUGCUGUUCCAAACAGCUGAACACCAUCCACCCUCCCUCCCCUAACUCCCGGCACGCCUUCCCUCCCAAGAAGCUCUCCAGUUUUGCUUUUUGAGGGGAGGUCUCCUUCCCAAAUCCCCAAGACCUUCAUCUACUUCCUCCCCCUUUAGGGCUCCAGAAGACACCAGCCUCUCUUUUCCCUGUCCUGACUCCCGUGCUCUCUGGCUCCUAUUUGAUGCCACCUUUCUCUGGGUUCUUCAUGACACACCAAAUUUGCUUCAGUUCCUGCACCAAGGCCAUACCAUCUCUCACACCAAGGUCUUUGCAGAGCACCUGCCAUUCACCUGAAGUUCUCCUCCUCACCCCAAAGCCCUUGACCUUGCUUGCUCCUACUCAUGGUGCAAAGAAUUGGCCAAGUACGCUUCCCCGGGGAAUUUCUUGUGCCUCCUGACCCUGGUACAUCAGAGAUCCCAUUGUACCUGCCUUUAGUGCUCUGUGCAUUUUCUUAACACUACCCAGCACACCUGUCAUUACCCACCUAUCUAGUGCCUUUACACCGUGGGAAUGCGGACACUGUCCUGCUGGUUCUCUGCCAUGUCCCCCUGGAGCUGGACUCGAUCCACACUGGGAACUCCAUCAAUAUGUGCUGACUGGAUGAAUGAGUGAGAUCAACCAAUUUGUGCUCAGAUGGGAAGGAUUCUGAUGGGUUAAUGCUUACCCCCCCAUACCCCAGUCUCAAACUACGUUUAUUUACCUGUCAUCAGGCACCUCCCAAACCUUCACCUGGAUCUGGAGUACUAUGCAGGUGGGCUCUCACCUGGUCUGAAUUAACACAAAACCCCUCCCACACCCAUCUCACCCCAGGCUGCUGUCCCUCCUCUGAGCUGAGGCCACGUUUCCUGUCUGUAUAAAAAUCCCUGUGUAACCUCUGCUCUUUCUCCCUUGAAAAUCUCUCCCCUUCUCUGCUUUUCAAGGAAUAAAUAAAGAUGAUACAAACAAGGAUGAUACUAACAAGUGCUUCUCAGAGCCAAGCACCUAGCAUGUUUCAGCUCAUCUACUCCUUCCACCAACCCUAUGAGGUGGGGGUACAAUUAUUACCCCCAUUUGAGGGACAGGGAAACUGAGGCCCAGAGAGAUUAAGUCAGUUAUUCAAGGUCACACAGCUGGUAAGCGAUGGAGCCAGACAGUCUGACCCCAGAAAAACCUCACAUAACCACUAAACUAUAUAAUAAUAACUUCUCUACAUUUUUUACUGUGACUCAUAGUAAAAAACACUUUUUAUAUCAUGACCCAGUUCACACAUAUGCACUCGCCCACAAAAGACUGAAACAAAAGUCUUACUUUUAUGAUGUGCUAUGCAUUCUAUCUCCGUAAAAAUAAAGACCGUCAUGAUCUAGGGCAAUUAAUAGCUUGUACAGUUACAGUAGGAUACAAUUAGGUAUAAACCACAUUUGAAUGUGCAAAGCUGCUUUUUAUUAAGUUUUAAAUUAAAGUACACGGCACUUUGAUUUUAUCCAAUAAGACUUGUGUCAGCCUUCCAACUUACAGAACUAAAAGGUAAUAAAUUUGUGCUGUUUUAAGCCACUAAAUGUGUGGCAAUUUGUUACAGCAGCAACAGGACACUAAUACAAGUACUCAGGAGAUCUUGGGUUUCUUAGUUGCCUCUGGGACAGAGGAAUGGUUAGCUGAAGGACAGCAGUGAAAGCUAUAGAAUGAAAAGAGGAUAGUGAGUUUUGAACUAUAUGAAUGUAUUAUUUUAACAUAAAUGAGGAGUUCCCUGGUGGCCUAGUGGUUAAGGAUUUGGCGUUGUCACUGCUGUGGCUUGGGUUUGAUGCCUGGCCCAGGAAUUUCCAUAUGUUACAGGUGCGGCCAAAAAAAUAAAUUAAAUUAAAUAGCAUUUUUUUUUUAAACGGAGUUCUCUGGUGGCUCAGCAGGUUAAGGAUUUGAUGUUGUCAUUGCUGUGGCACAGGUUUGAUCCUUAGCCCAGGAACUUCCACAUGCCAAGGGUGCAGCAAAAACAAAAAACAAAACAAAAAAAACCCAACAAAAACAAAAAACUAACCGCAGAUUAAAUGUUUUGACUCUUUGGAGAGAUUUCCUUUAAGUCUCCCCUGAACUCACUGAUCUACUCCAAUCUACCCGUCAGACAUCAGGAAAUUUUGCUUUUACAGCAUGGCUCCCUUUUUCUCCAGCGCGUUCUGUUUGACUUUCCUUUGGGAAAAACUUCCCCACGCCUACUCUCUGUCCACGGGAUUUGGGUAGGUCCAACUCUACUUAAAUGCCAGAGGUGAGCAUGUGACCCAGGCUCAGCCAAUCACAGCCUUAUCCACCCAGCCACGGUGAUUGGUUCAAGCAUGGGGCGUGGCUCCAGAGACGGUAUUCUUCACUACGUUGCACCUGGCUACGUGGUAGUGAGAAUUAGAAAACAUGUCAGGAGCUCAGGAUGGGGCGUGGCACAAUAAAUGCCACGUUCAAUCAGCAGUGCUUUUCUGACUUGCCACACUCUCUUGCACUGCCUCUACAUCCCUGCCUUACUUUACCUGACACAUCUGGCUAUGAGCUCCUGGCAUCCAUUGAUCUAACUCCGGAGAAAGGCUCAAGUCAGUCUGUUCCUCACAAUAGCCCUGGAUGAGAACUUCCCAUACAUCCCACCCCGCAGGGGGCUGAAAACCCAGGCAGGGCCAGAGGGCCAUGCCCCAGCCCCAGGCAGACAACCCAGGGAACUCAAGUCCAGAGUUGAAGAGUUCAAACCCAGAGCAGCUCAUGAAUGUUCCUGGACCCCAAAGAGUAACCCGAGAAAUUGUUUGUAUCAGCGAGGAAUGACUUAACUCUUGGCAAAUCCUAGAAAACAGCCUCUCUUCCUGUUUCUAGAGGCCUUCCAAAGAAAAGAAACAGUUUAGGUUUUGCUCUGCUCUGUGGCUGACUGGAGACUCCCAUCCCGUGAGGCAUGCGGGAACCUGUGGGUGAGGUCUCGGCUCCCAGGAGCAGCGGGAGGGAAUAUUCACGGUGUGUCAACCAGACUGUUUGGUCUUCUCUGGCUGAGGGGACCUCUGAGUCGGCUUCAGAGACCACUGAGGGGUGGAAGGGUCUUCAACACCAAUCCUGGCGUCUCUGCUCUAAUGCACCUUCCCACCAAGCAAGUCUGGUCUCCUUAGCACCCGCAUCCACCCCAUUCGCUCUCUCACUGUCUUGCCUUCACACAGACGGAGCCAGCUUCCCGGGGUGCCCUCCCUCUCAUGACCAAACCAACCCAUCUCAACUUUGGUACCCAGGUGGGGCUCGACAUCCACCACGAGGAGCCUGCCCUGCACACCACAGUUCAACACAAACUUGGAUUUCUCUCCCUCAGCCUGCUACCCAACUCCAUUCUUCAUUCAUUAACCCAACAGUUCUCGAGGCUUUUGGCUUCAUGAAUGCUUUACACUCUUGAACAGGAGAGAGGACCCCAAAGGACGUUUGUUUAUAUAGUUUCUAUCCUAUUGGUUUUUUUUUUUCCAACCAUAUUAGAAAUUAAAACCGAAGAGUUUCCGCUGUGGCACAGUGGGUUAAGGAUCUGGUGUUGCUGCAGCCAUGGCUCGGAUUUGAUCCCUGGCCCAGGAACUUCCAUAUGCUGCGGGUGCAGCCAAAAAGGAAAAAAAAAAA